rnacentral:lncRNA from 1 species
CAAGGGAUAAGAAUGAAAAUAAAUUCCCUGGCCAAUUCUCAAAUACCUGAAUGAAAAAGCAUACAAACAAAGCUUUCCACUCAUCUGUGCAUUUACUUGUAUGAAGGAAAAAGGAAUAACCCAAAAGAAAACAGCUUUAAUACAAGGCAAAAACCAAAACCCAGAAUAUCAAACCUAAUAUCGUUUCCCCAGAAUUAUGCCGAUGAUCACAGAUACCAGGGCUACUCCAAUGAUAAACUUGAAGGUCAUUACAGGAGAGGCAACGGCUCGUGCGGUAGGGAUCUCUCUGGUAGAUGAGGUUUGAGCUGCUGCUUCUAACUUCUUGCUCUUUCGUUUUGAUGGUGUCGAAAUGACUGACCCAAUGUCUCUGGAUUUGAUCUCUGCUGCAUCCUUCACUUCUGAUGGAGU